UCCGGUUUGUCACCGGCAGUCACGCCAGAGUGCCCGGCAUUACCCGUUGGCAACUGGCAUCGAGGGUUGCGCUCGUUGCGGGACUUAACCCAACAUCUCACGACACGAGCUGACGACAGCCAUGCACCACCUGUCUCCGAGCUCCUUGCGGCACUCCCAACUUUCAUCGGGAUUCUCGGGAUGUCAAGCCUUGGUAAGGUUCUUCGCGUUGCAUCGAAUUAAACCACAUACUCCACCGCUUGUGCGGGCCCCCGUCAAUUCCUUUGAGUUUCAGUCUUGCGACCGUACUCCCCAGGCGGGACACUUAACGCGUUAGCUUCGGCACGGGGGGGGUCGAUACCCCCCACACCUAGUGUCCAUCGUUUACGGCUCGGACUAC
rnacentral:misc_RNA from 1 species